GGGUACUGAAUUAACGUACCGAUUGAGUAUACGCCCUAUAUAUCCUAUAUUUAGCUAAGUGUAAGAAUUGCAUACCUAUACCUGUACUACCGUCCAAACCUUCUGCUUUCCAGGUAACUAUGGUUCUAAUUGGGCUUCUAGAAAGACUUGACCUUGAGCAGUCUGGAGCACUGCAGAAUGCACCUCGAUAAGGCAUCUGUGAAUUUUGUACGUGAGUGCUUAAAAGAGCCCAUCUUGGAGAUGUGGAAGCAAUAUGAUUAUUGAGUGAAAAAUCAGCAGGCUUCAGCACCUCUUUGGAGUUCUUUUGAAUAACAAUAGGGGAUUGAUCUUCAAAUGCAGAUACAGAAACUCGCCUUGAUGGGCUGUUUGCAGCAGUUCUAUUUCCAUUUUCAUAGUCAGAUGUGAGAGGCCUUAGGACACGUGAAUCAGACGGGUAGUCACUAUCAGUGGAGCUAACACUAGAAACAGAAGCAGUCGCAAUAUCACCUUCAGUAUAAGCAUGGUCUAAUCUAUUAGAGACGCAUUCGGGCCUUGGAAGGGGCAAAUCCAAAGGCUCUGAGCCUCUUCCCAAUCCUGGUCUUCUUGAAACACCGAUUCCAGAACUACUACGCCCAACACCUGCAUGGUGAACCCCAGGAAGUGGAAGUGGUUGAGCAUGAGGCCUUUCUGCAAAACUUUGAGAGCGUGCUACUCCCAUGGACGGUGAUGGUGAUCUUGAUGGCACUCAUGAUCUGGAUCCCCUUUCUGAAACAUUAUCACUACAAUGUCUCCGAGAUCCUCCUGAUCUACUAUUGCUUUUCCCCUAUGAAGAAAUCUUCAAUUUUUGAUGUAUUGCAUCAAUGAUACUUUCCUUUGCUUUCUUCUUGUCUUCUUUGGAUGAAGUCUUUCCCCACCAUGAAAGCAUAUUUAUGUAAAAAAACAACAACUGCAAAUUCUAACUUAAAAUGCACUCCCCCACUUAUAAGGAAGCUCUCAGAUGUACUCUAUAUGCAGUACUCAAACAAGCUAUGACUGCUUUGUCUGCAAAUAGUUUUGCAGUGAAUGUAUAGCUCAAAAUUGCGGCGUCAUUUCCCCCCAGAUAACAAGAAGAGAAAGCUCAAAAGUCAAAAAGCAAAGGAAAAAAAAAUUGAUGAGAGAUAAAGACGGAGGCCGUGUUCUUCUAGAGAGAGUGGGUCGUCUCAGCGUUGAUUGUGAUAAAAUAUUAACUAUUGGAAAACGAGAACACCCCACCUAAGACGCACGAUGUACGGUAAUAACAUCUGUUGCGUGAAAUCAUAACCGUUCGUUUGACAUAUGUCAUGUAUUGACGUUGAUAAGGAAGAAGGAAUAAUUUCGUUAGUCAACGGAUGUAAAAGAACAAAAAAAUUAUGGUGAUUCUUGAAGCAUGGGAUCAUGAAUCGCUUCACGUUGGAAAGUCAUUCUUUGCAAGUGAUCAAUGGAAUUCAAAAUGGGUCUCCUCCACCACUCUUAAUCUCUGGAAUUAUUCAAGACAUUCAAAACACGGUGUUUGGUGUUUGUUUGUUCUCAUGUCAAUAGAUGAGGAACAUGCCAGCUCGUUCUUUAACUAGAAAAACGCUGCAAGAUAUUUCCUUUAUUUUCAAUUAUUUGGCUCAACAUCACUUUGUUUCUUUUUUUAUGCUCAAGCAGGGCCUCAUCUAUGAAUCUGCCUUUAAAAAAAAAAUUCAACAAUUAGAUCGGCUCGCAUCAAAUCGAACCAAAAUAGAAUCAAAACUAAAACUAAAAUCUUAUAAUUUUGUUUAGAAAAUUCGGUUCCACACACUAUAACUACUGGUUCUGAUUUGAAAAUCGAACCAAAUUUGGCAAUGGAUGGGGCUAAGGCAUGGUUAGAAUCAGACUAGUCAAACUUAGAAUCAAAAUUAAACCAAAAUCAACUUGGCAAAAACCGAAUUGAAAUUAUAUCAGAAUUGAACAGUUCGAUUUUGAGUCAAAACUAGAUUUGCUUUUAAAAAGUGAAAAAAACAAAGUUGCAGCUUAUUAAAUUAGAUCAAACCAAAAUCAAAUUGGGACUAAAAUCGAUUAUGAGGACCAUGUUGUUCAAUUUGGAUUCCCUUGAAUUAAUAAAUAAAAAUCACCAUUUCUCACUAAGACCAACUUGAACCGGUCCAGUGGCAAUGCCAAGUUCCAAUGAAAAAAUAAAUC
rnacentral:misc_RNA from 1 species